rnacentral:tRNA from 1 species
GCGCCGCUAGCUCAAUUGGCAGAGCAGCGGACUCUUAAUCCGCGGGUUCGGGGUUCAAGUCCCUGGCGGCGCAC